rnacentral:rRNA from 1 species
AUUGAACGCUGGCGGCAGGCCUAACACAUGCAAGUCGAACGAGUGGCGGACGGGUGAGUAAUGUCUGGGAAACUGCCUGAUGGAGGGGGGUAACUACUGGAACCGGUAGCUAAUACCGCAUACCAUCCGAUGUUCCCAGAUGGGAUUAGCUAGUAGGUGGGGUAAAGGCUCACCUAGGCGACGAUCCCUAGCUGGUCUGAGAGGAUGACCAGCCACACUGGAACUGAGACACGGUCCAGACUCCUACGGGAGGCAGCAGUGGGGAAUAUUGCACAAUGGGCGCAAGCCUGAUGCAGCCAUGCCGCGUGUAUGAAGAAGGCCUUCGGGUUGUAAAGUACUUUCAGCGGGGAGGCGUUACCCGAAGAAGAAGCACCGGCUAACUCCGUGCCAGCAGCCGCGGUAAUUC